GCGGAGGAAAAGUAAAUAACAAUGAUUUCCCUAGUAACGGCGAGUGAAGAGGAAAGAGCUCAAAGUUGGAACCUGUUUGGCCUAGCUAAACCGGAUUGUAGACUGUAGAAGUGUUUUCCAGGCAAGCCGAGUAAAUAAGUCCUUUGGAACAGGGCAUCAUAGAGGGUGAGAAUCCCGUCUUUGGCUUGAGCAUUUGCCUUUUGUGAUACGCUUUCAAAGAGUCAGGUUGUUUGGGAAUGCAGCCUAAAUUGGGUGGUAAAUCUCACCUAAAGCUAAAUAUUGGCGAGAAACCGAUAGCGAACAAGUACCGUGAGGGAAAGAUGAAAAGAACUUUGAAAAGAGAGUUAAACAGUAUGUGAAAUUGUUAAAAGGGAACCGUUUGGAGCCAGACUGGCUUGUCUGUAAUCAAUCUAGGCUUCGGCCUGGAUGCACUUGCAGGCUAUGCCUGCCAACGACAAUUUGACUUGAGGGAAAAAACUAGGGGAAAUGUGGCCCACUUGUGGGUGUUAUAGUCCCUUAGAAAAUACCUUGGGUUGGAUUGAGGAACGCAGCGAAUGCUUAUUGGCGAGUUUUCCAGGAAGGUUUUCUGAGGUACUACGGUAUCAAGGUUGAUCUU
rnacentral:rRNA from 2 species